AUAUGAAUCACCUUAGGAUCUUGUUAUGGUAAGUUUCUGAUUCAGUAGGUCUGAGGUGGGUUCUGGGAUUCUGCACUUCCAACAAGCUCCCAGGUGAUAUCCCU
rnacentral:pre_miRNA from 1 species